GUUGCAUCCGUUAGUGGGACGCUGACUGUGCACCGAUCGAGACGUGGUGCCCAUCUGGGUCUCAGAAGAAUGGCGCCUAGUAGGGGACCGGCAGUUUUGGGCGAGGAACAAAGAUGGAGGCCUGUUUGGACGGCAUCGAACUUCGAUCCGGCUUGGCGUGCAAGCGUCAGGUCACCGCCCUGCAGCCGCAAACUUCCACCAAAGGUCAUCAACACCUAUGGCCAACGUCAUCUCGUCUUUGACCAGCUGAUGGAUCCGUUCAGCUCGCUCGAUGUUUCCAGUUGACCCACUCAUCC